rnacentral:rRNA from 1 species
CAUGAAGCUGGAUUCGCUAGUAAUCGCGCAUCAGCCAUGGCGCGGUGAAUACGUUCCCGGGCCUUGUACACACCGCCCGUCAAGCCAUGGGAGCCGGGGGUGCCUGAAGUUCGUGACCGCAAGGAGCGACCUAGGGCAAAACUGGUGACUGGGGCUAAGUCGUAACAAGGUACC